UAUGAAUCAGCUAUAUACAUCUUGCAAUGUAAUUCAUGAUUCUGUUUGUUCUCUGAGAGUUGAGGUGCACUUGCUUGAUCUGAGUUUAUUGGAGGAGAGCAAAGGGAGGAUGGCUAUGAGGCAGCCCAGUGAGGUAUUCCUGUGCUUGCAGCUCAGCCCAGCUUCCGGGCCCAUGCUGUGUUGCUGGAAAGGGGCAGUUUAUUACAGCUCCCGUAACCACAGAGCAUAAAGUACAUCUGCUUUGGGGCCCAGGAAGAAGGUAAGCCAGGAGAGAGGUGGCUUGACAGUUAUUAAGAAUGGAAUUAAGGGGGCCAGCCCCAUGGCCUAGUGUAAAGUUUGGCGUGUUCCACUUCGGCAGCCUGGGUUCUGUUCCUGGCACGGACCUACACCACUCAUCAGCUGUGGUGGUGAUCCUCAUACAAAAUAGAAGACUGGAACAGAUGUUGGCUCAGGGAGAAUCCUCUUUAGCAAACAAACAAAAAAGAAUGGAAUUAAGGAGCAACCAUGUACAUGCCUGUGUUGGGAAUGAGGGGGAUGUCAGGGUAGCGGAAACCACAGGGCUGACAUGAAGAGGGUAAAUGAGGGUGUUGGGAGCCAGGAAGACCCCCUCUGAAGCAGCCACCUUCAGGCUGCUGUGAAGGAGCUCAGGCCUGGGAUCUCCAUCUUUGCUGGUAGAGACUGAGCCACAUGCUGCUGUGUCCCCAGUACAACCUAGGGAAAUGUGGUUACACAUAUAACAGAGGGGACAGUGCUCAUACUCCCUUAUUCAAAUAAGGAAAAUAUCCCAUCUUUGUUUUGAGAUGAUCUAUGAAUCAUCUAUGACAUAAAUUAAGCGGAAGCAACAUUGGGUGAAAAAAAUCAUGUCACCAUAUAUUUUAGUGACAUCUACAAUGCCUUAGGCUGCGAAUGAGACAUUUCAGGUGAUAAGCAGCAGCCCAGCGCUGGCUUGCACAGGUCUGCAUUUCCAGAAGAGCUUGCCACGUGGCCUCCACUCUCAAGCCGUCCUGCACACUCACUGCCUAACUAAUCUGCUUGACACAGGCCUUUAGCCACUACACAACCUUCCAUGCUUCCCGUCUCACUAAAGCAACUGUGAACUCUGC
rnacentral:lncRNA from 1 species